CAACACGUCUCCCGCGGGGCUGGAUCCCGCCGUGGGCCUGGGAUAGCUGCUAUUGAUUAUCUCCUCCUUGCCUACUUCAUUACGUUGGCAGGAGCCUCUCUCACCAGCGCCCCUCAACUUCUGCCCUCCCCAGUCUCCCCGGCCCAGCAGCACCCAGCUGAGCUCUCCUGGAGGUUUUGGUUAGUAAGCCGGGCUCUGCCAAAGAAUGUUUUCCUCGCGGGGCGGGGGCUGAGGCCCGGGGGCCAACGAGGUGACGAGCUCGGUGGCGGCGGCUGGCAGCUUGCCGCCCCAGCCCUGGCCCCCACCGGCCCCUUUAAUUGGAGUUCGCCGUGGAGCCAGGUGCGGCGCUGCGUGGCGCGGUGCGGCUGCGGGCGGCGGCCGGGAGCUCCGUACGCGCCGCCCGCGGGACUGCAGAGCCGGCUCCCGGCUGGCCGCCCGCACCCCGCCGCCGCCCGCUGCUGGGGUUCUGCCGGCGCUGGCCGUAACCCAGGAACAUGGAGGCCCCGGUGCCCAUCCGGAAGGGCAACGUCACACCUCCUGAGGACAGCCAGGACUCCAGCUUUUGCUGAGCUUUGCAUCUUGCCUCCUUCCUUCAAAAGGCUCCAGGCCCAUGCUCGGCUGUCUUCAAGUCCCGCAUGCCCCUGGCCAGGCAUCACAUCGCCCCUCCAGCCCAGCCCAGUCCUAGAGCUCACCUCCAGGACCCAGAAUCUGCCCUCCUGCCCAGAAUGACUCACCAUUAUUUCUAGCUGGAGUGAGAAGACGUGAUGGGGAGUUGGGCUGCCUGUUUGUGCAUCUAAGAUUCCUGCAGCAUCUGAUCAGCUCUGCAAGGAAGAGAGCUUCAGGUUCCUGUCUGGUCAGGUAAAUCAAUCUAUCAUUUAAUAACAACCUUGUGUAGAAUCAUUAGGGUAGAGGCCAAUGAGGAAGACCCAGGCCCAAGAUCCCCCACCGUGAAUACCUCCCUGGGUACGAGUAUCUGAGACAUUAGUGCAGCACCUGGGAGAGGGUCCACUUUUAACCUAUUAGCAUGGGGUUAUGCUCCACGAAGCCUGUGUGGUACAAGUGGGCCUGUACCAGCCACCUUCCCCCAGUGCAGGGCAUUCCAGAGGUUCCUUGAGAGAUUGCUACCUGCUCCCCCUGAUCCCCAGACAAGUUACAAGGUGAAAGUACAUUUUGCUUUGUCGUUGUGGUGGUGGUGAUCAUGUUUCUGAACUCUUGGCUGAGAGAUGGGAGACAAAAAGUGGCAACCCAUGUCGGGCUGCCAAUGCUGAGUAGCCGCAUGUCAAUAACUGCCUCUGUCUUUCAGCCAAGCGAGGCUGUCUCUCCAGCUCUCAGAGAGCUCUCGGGGCUCUCCUGCAGGAGACCAGGCCAAUGCUCCUGUGCUUCCUGGGGCCAGUAGCAGCACCCUGAGCUCCCUGCCACCAGGCAGCUGAAAGGCAUAGCGUGA
rnacentral:lncRNA from 1 species